CAUUUUGACCUGUACUGCAGUGACAGUGGCAGAAUAUGGUAAUGGGUCAGCAUGGGAAAAUCUGGAUGGGCCUGGUUAAUUGUAAAAUUCAUAUGAGAUGUGAGUGUGCUCAUAAAAGCUACAUGUUAUAAUCAAAUCUGUUGGUCCUCUCCUCUGUACGUAAAUUAUCCUAUGAUGCAAAGAAUAUCUGUAACCUACCUUUGUGUAAGUUAUGUUAAAUUAUAUUAAAAAAAACACACACACAAUGACAUGCAGGCACAACCAAAUGAUGUUAAAAAAAAACUGGUCCAUUUCCAUUUUAUUAAGUUCCAGUUAUAAUUUUUAAUGUUUUAAAUCUUGGUUGUAGCCUUCAAAAACGUGAAAUCAUUUUACAGUUAUGUUUGGCCAUUUACUUUUUCGCUUUUACUACAUCCUAGAAUUGUUCAUUAAUUGUGAGGUUUUUAUGGAAUUUGCAACAUCAAGUUAAACCGAGGUUCUUUGGAAGUUAAAAUGUCAAGCAGAUUUUUAUGUUACGGUGACUACAUUUUGUAAGUUACAAAUAUAGUUCGCCAAGACAGCAUAACGGUUUCUAAACAACUGCGCAUUAAUACCACAAUGUUGUAUUUUCAUGUGUCAAGUUCGCAACGCGCAUUAAUCCCAAAGGCUGAAAAGCCAGCAGCGAUGAGUGCUCCGCCUCCGCGCUGACUAGCGUUGACACAGAAAAUGACUCUCAGGGGUUAUUGAUGGAGGAGCUCCUUAAAAAGUUGAUGGAAGAAGGCAUUGAUGUGUCAGACGACGAGGCGCAAAGGUUUAGAGGAUUCGUGCUUUGUGGGGGAAGAUGCAGCCUCCGUUGAUGCUCAUAUCAAGGUGCUAAAUGAUCAGCACAGGACGCUACAUCCUGACACAGCACUGGUGAAAGACCGCAUGACAAAAACCUUUGCAUGGAGACGUCAAGAGGUAGCUGAAGGAAUGUGUACUGUGGACCUAUUAAAGAGAUAUCCAUUCCUGGGGACAUCUGCAGGGUUGUGUGAUGAGGUUGAUUUAAUGCAUCCCUGCCAAGACAACAUCUGUUGCCGCUUUAGCGAGAACUUCACUGCUGUUCUUCAAAAUGUUCUUCAAAUGACCAAGGAUUUGCCACUGAAGAAGGUCUACAUGGAGGCAAGAGAGAAUGCACUGGCUGAAGACAUUACAGGAAUUGACUUCAAGGGGGCACUUCUCCUCUUGCCAUCCAUCUUCAAGGAGAAGAUAGAAGAUUUCAUCAUCCUUGGAGAGGUAAAUGCAUGA
rnacentral:lncRNA from 1 species